ACUGGCCAUCUAUAAAUUUGUAACAUAGCUCGGUAUUCAAUGUGAGGCUUCCAUCUCAUAUUUUAACUACAACAAUCUAAAAAACCAACCAAAAAAACAUAACUCCCAAUCUGCAAACUAUCCCACAAAAUUUCCGUGUACAACAACCUAACAUCAUAAGUAAGCCUCCAACUUAACAUCACAGGCUGGCCUACAAACAUUUCAAUUGCACGGGCAUCAUAGGUAAGCCUCCUCGUCGACUACAUAAUAGGUAUACCUUAGCUACCUCCAUGAACACCGGAAAAGUCAAGAUUAUCAGCUAGAACAAUAGAAGAUAUUAAUGAACAAUAAUGACAUGAACAUAUAUCGUCCAAAGCAAAGCGGAAGAACUCGGAGGGGGAGAAGAGGCUUACCACCAAGUUUCGGCUC
rnacentral:lncRNA from 1 species